UCUGUCCGUGCUGUGUGAUUGCGACGAGGACGACUGCCGCCAGCAGCGGCGUGUCGCCGAUUUCGUCUUUGCCGACAUCGAGCAAGUGCAGCUCGCCGGAAGUGUUGCGUUUUGCACUGCAUUUUCCUUGUGAUAUGGGAGAUCGCAACGCAGAGACGACCAGAUGCAUACGAAAGACUACCAGCGGAGAGUGACCUGUGCCAUAUUUCUCUUAACCUCUCAGGUAUUCAAGAAAUGGCAACAUCCAGAAGAAGACGCCAUCUUAUCCAGCACGUUAUGGGUACACUCUGGUGGCUCCCGCCCCUGCAUCCUACGACCACCGUGUCCUCGCUAUGUUCACUAGGGAGUUCGAAGCCUUUGGCGGCUCCUGCCACUGCGUCCUGCCACCACCGUGUCCUGACUA